CAUCUGACUUUCUCAGGGUAGCACAUUAAAGCCAGGCAGGAGCCGAGGAGCUUCCUGUGAACACUCAGAGGCUGACAGGGAGACUGCAGAUCUGUGAUGGAGGAAGCAGCCAGAUGAAAGCAGCCAUGUAAGAAGGUCAUUGUGACAGGACUUGUCCAUCUGCUCUGCUGGAGUGAGGGCAGGCUGCUCUACCUAAGACAAGCUAGCAGUUGCUGCUGGGAGCAGGACCUGGCUUCAUAACCAAGUUCCAACAAGUACUGUACCGAAAGGGACAUAGCAGAAGUAGCAAAACAAACAGAAGAGGACAUAGGAAAAGAACAAAACACAGCAGGAGAGAAAGGACAUUAAAAAUGGACUUUAAAACAAAGAGCAUGGUCCAAGGAAACCAACUCUCAAAAAUCUUCUGAGAUUAUGGGUAGAGGACUGGAAAAUUGUCACCAUUUUGCUGGACAGCAGAAAUGUGCAUUUUCCGGUCCACUUCAUCAAUCACCUUGAUGCUGAGCUGAUGAGAUCCCAACAGAGUGACUGAACCACGAUUUACUUCACACCAUCGUGUCUGUCUCAGUCUUAAAUAUUUCUACCUAAGAUAUGCAGGUCAACUGAUGUGGGAAGGGCUCUUGGCCCUUGUUUAUGGAACUGUCGUCUAUAAGGGACUGAACUAGAAGAGCAAUUUGAAUGAGGAGAAGAGAUAAGAAUUCUAAAAAACAACAAAAUCUGGGGGAAGAAAGCCAAGCAGUCAUUGGGUGUCGACUCCUAGGAAAUUAAACUGAGAUGAGGCCAUCUGUAAUGGACACUAUCUUCUUUCUCCAGAGAAAACACAAAGAUGCAAAAGAGAAUAGUUCUAGAGAAAAGCUCCAUCCAAACCUAGAAGGAUUGGAGGAGCCCGCCCAGCCCAGUCUGUUUGGAGAACUAGAGGGGGGCUUAAGCUCUGCACUGGAAAAUGGAAGAAGCUGGUAGCUAUGGUGGGUGAAUGUCCCUGAGGCAGAGCAGGGGAGAGGAGAGAAAAACUACGAAGCCUGACCAAUGAACAGAGGACUUUUAAACACUAGACGUUCAUCACUGAAGCAUUCAUGCCAGUCAGUACCGCUACUGCAGUAAAGUAUGAUAUAAAUAGGCUGGGUGGUGGUGGGCACGCCUUUAAUCCCAGCACUUGGGAGGCAGAGGCAGGCAGAUCUCUGUGAGUUCGAGGCCGGGCUGGACCGAUAGCCUCGAAAACAAUAUAGAGAAAUCCUGUCUCGUAAAAACCAAAAAAAAUUCUUUGUGGAAAAGAAUCAUGGAGAAAGACUAUUUUCCAUCGUGAAGAUGAGCAAGAAGCAACAGCCUUGAAACAGAGCAGAGAACAGUGAACACCAGAAACUGGGUCAAGUGUGACUAUGACACGUAGGAACUUUUGACAUGUGUGGACAUCAUGUUAUGGGUGGCAGCUUUGCAUAAAUAACUUUAAAAAGAAGUGGGAGUGUUAAUCAGGCUUACGGUUUUGGAGACUCUAGUUCAGUUUGGAAGGAGCUCUCUUAGCUGCUGUUAUCAGGGUGAAGGUGCCUGUAUAGGGUACAGCUUGCAUGGACCAAUUAAAGCAGAGAAAGACCGGGUCUACAGUCCCUGCAAGCACAUGUCCCCAGUGACUCAGCUCCUCCGCAGGCCCCAUUCCCCAAAGUUUAAACCUUCAACCAUAAUGCACUACUGAGAAAGGGAUAAGUAAUUUUUACCAAAGCACAGAUUUCACUAGCUUUGCAUCUGGGAGCAUCCACCUGAGGGACAUGUCACCAAAUGCCUAACUUACCACACCAUUGACAUAAACAACGGUCCCUCUGAAAACUCUGUUGACUCUUUGGCAUGCAUGCAGUGAUUUCUGGGUGCGAUUUGUCUUUGUUCCUGUUCCUUAUUGGUCACCUAAGUUGGCUCGUGCUUUUCCAAACAAGAAAGAGCACCUGAUGGCGAUAGGCAGGAGCAGUGGGUGACCAACAGAAAUCAGAGGGAGUGUUUAAAUAAUUACCACGAUUCUGGCACAGUUGAUUUUGCCACUAGCCCUUCUUAAUUAGAAAUCAAACCAAGAUUCAGAGAAGAAAAAAGUUGUCAGAUUUGCUCUGAAGGAAACUCACAGGUGUUUGAACAAAAAGGAAUUAUGGGAGCAUCUCUAAGAAGUCUUCGACACUUGAAAAACAGACCACAGUCAAAAUCCUUGAUGAUCGUCUGAGCUUAUAUGAAUCCUAUGUGGGGACUGGUCAAAGGGCAAUUUUGUUACAGCCAGCUCAGACUGGUUUUGACAGCUGCCAGCAAAGGCAAAACUCUCCUAUAGGCCAGUUAGUGCAUCUGAACCCACCAGCUGUUGUGGCCCAUUUACUAAUGCGAAUAAACAAUGCAGCGGGAACCUUGAACUUCCAGUGCAUGAAAGGCCUGAGCCUUUUCUGAGCACUUGGGGCUGAUUGUGUGGUGAGGAGAUAAUGGAUAACAUAACUUCAUGCUUCUGUAAGCAACAAAUAAGAAAUCUAAGCCCAGGAAAAUAAAAAUAUCUGCUUGAGUCCUAAGUAUUCCCUUAAGAGAAUGUUUAUGAUAACUUAACGGUAUUUUCCAUAUGGUAAUCUCACUAAUAAAACAAAUGUGGAAAAGC